rnacentral:rRNA from 1 species
CCUACGGGGGGCAGCAGUGGGGGAUAUUGCACAAUGGGGGAAACCCUGAUGCAGCGACGCCGCGUGUGGGAAGACGGUCCUCUGGAUUGUAAACCACUGUCCCCAGGGACGAAGAUGACGGUACCUUGGGAGGCAGCUCCGGCUAACUACGUGCCAGCAGCCGCGGUAAUACGUAGGGAGCGAGCGUUGUCCGGAAUUACUGGGUGUAAAGGGUGCGUAGUCGGGGAUGCAAGUUGGGUGUAAACCCUACCGGCUAAACUGGGAGUCGCACUCAAAACUUCAGCUCUUGAGUGAAGGAGAGGCAGGCGGAAUUCCUAGUGUAGCGGUGAAAUGCGUAGAUAUUAGGAGGAACACCAGUGGCGAAGGCGGCCUGCUGGGCUGUAACUGACGCUGAGGCUCGAAAGUGUGGGGAGCAAACAGGAUUAGAUACCCGGGUAGUC